rnacentral:misc_RNA from 1 species
AAAUGCGAUAAUUAAUGUGAAUUGCAGAAUUCAGUGAAUCAUCGAGUCUUUGAACGCACAUUGCACCCCCUGGUAUUCCGGGGGGUAUGCCUGUCCGAGCGUCAUUGCUGCCCUCAAGCCCGGCUUGUGUGUUGGGUCCUCGUCCCCCCCCGGGGGACGGGCCCGAAAGGCAGCGGCGGCACCGCGUCCGGUCCUCGAGCGUAUGGGGCUUUGUCACACCGCUCUCGUAGGCCCGGCCGGCGCUGGCCGACGCUGAAAAGCAACCAUUAUUUCUCCAGGUUGACCUCGGAUCAGGUAGGGAUACCCGCUGAACUUAAGCA